GUGAGUAACACGUGGUCAACCUACCUCUGUGUGGGGGAUAACUAGCCGAAAGGUUAGCUAAUACCGCAUACGAUCGUUUUGGGGCAUCUCGAGACGAUGAAAGGAGCAAUCCGCACGGAGAGGGGACUGCGUCCCAUUAGUUAGUUGGUGGGGUAACGGCCUACCAAGACUCCGAUGGGUAGCUGGCUUGAGAGAGCGACCAGCCACACUGGAACUGAGACACGGUCCAGACUCCUACGGGAGGCAGCAGUGAGGAAUUUUCCGCAAUGGGCGAAAGCCUGACGGAGCGACGCCGCGUGUGGGAAGAAGGCCUUCGGGUCGUAAACCACUGUCGAAGGGGACGAUAUUGACGGUACCCUUGGAGGAAGCCCCGGCUAACUACGUGCCAGCAGCCGCGGUAAGACGUAUGGGGCAAGCGUUGUCCGGAAUUAU
rnacentral:rRNA from 1 species